rnacentral:rRNA from 1 species
CCUACGGGGGACAGCAGUGGGGAAUAUUGCACAAUGGGGGAAACCCUGAUGCAGCGACGCCGCGUGAGUGAAGAAGUAAUUCGUUAUGUUAAGCUCUAUCAGCAGGGAAGCAAAUGACGGUACCUGAGUCCGCAGCCCCGGCUAACUACGUGCCAGCAGCCGCGGUAAUACGUCGGGGGCACGCGUUAUCCGGAUUUACUGGGUGUAAAGGGAGCGUAGACGGCAGUGCAAGUCUGGAGUGAAAGGCGGGGGCUCAACCCCCGGACUGCUCUUGAAACUGUACGGCUGGAGUGCAGGAGAGGUAAGUGGAAUGCGUAGUGUAGCGGUGAAAUGCGUAGAUAUGAGGAAGAACACCAGUGGCGAAGGCAGCUUACUGGACUGUAACUGACGUUGAGGCUCGAAAGCGUGGGGAGCGAACAGGAUUAGAUACCCUUGUAGUC